GGGUUGUGAGGUUAAGCGACUAAGCGUACACGGUGGAUGCCCUGGCAGUCAGAGGCGAUGAAGGACGUGCUAAUCUGCGAUAAGCGUCGGUAAGGUGAUAUGAACCAUUAUAACCGGCGAUUUCCGAAUGGGGAAACCCAGUGUGAUUCGUCACACUAUCAUUAACUGAAUCCAUAGGUUAAUGAGGCGAACCGGGGGAACUGAAACAUCUAAGUACCCCGAGGAAAAGAAAUCAACCGAGAUUCCCCCAGUAGCGGCGAGCGAACGGGGAGCAGCCCAGAGCCUGAAUCAGUGUGUGUGUUAGUGGAAGCGUCUGGAAAGGCGUGCGAUACAGGGUGACAGCCCCGUACACAAAAAUGCACAUAUUGUGAGCUCGAUGAGUAGGGCGGGACACGUGGUAUCCUGUCUGAAUAUGGGGGGACCAUCCUCCAAGGCUAAAUACUCCUGACUGACCGAUAGUGAACCAGUACCGUGAGGGAAAGGCGAAAAGAACCCCGGCGAGGGGAGUGAAAAAGAACCUGAAACCGUGUACGUACAAGCAGUGGGAGCACGCUUAGGCGUGUGACUGCGUACCUUUUGUAUAAUGGGUCAGCGACUUAUAUUCUGUAGCAAGGUUAACCGAAUAGGGGAGCCGAAGGGAAACCGAGUCUUAACUGGGCGUUAAGUUGCAGGGUAUAGACCCGAAACCCGGUGAUCUAGCCAUGGGCAGGUUGAAGGUUGGGUAACACUAACUGGAGGACCGAACCGACUAAUGUUGAAAAAUUAGCGGAUGACUUGUGGCUGGGGGUGAAAGGCCAAUCAAACCGGGAGAUAGCUGGUUCUCCCCGAAAGCUAUUUAGGUAGCGCCUCGUGAAUUCAUCUCCGGGGGUAGAGCACUGUUUCGGCAAGGGGGUCAUCCCGACUUACCAACCCGAUGCAAACUGCGAAUACCGGAGAAUGUUAUCACGGGAGACACACGGCGGGUGCUAACGUCCGUCGUGAAGAGGGAAACAACCCAGACCGCCAGCUAAGGUCCCAAAGUCAUGGUUAAGUGGGAAACGAUGUGGGAAGGCCCAGACAGCCAGGAUGUUGGCUUAGAAGCAGCCAUCAUUUAAAGAAAGCGUAAUAGCUCACUGGUCGAGUCGGCCUGCGCGGAAGAUGUAACGGGGCUAAACCAUGCACCGAAGCUGCGGCAGCGACGCUGAUGCGUUGUUGGGUAGGGGAGCGUUCUGUAAGCCUGUGAAGGUGUGCUGUGAGGUAUGCUGGAGGUAUCAGAAGUGCGAAUGCUGACAUAAGUAACGAUAAAGCGGGUGAAAAGCCCGCUCGCCGGAAGACCAAGGGUUCCUGUCCAACGUUAAUCGGGGCAGGGUGAGUCGACCCCUAAGGCGAGGCCGAAAGGCGUAGUCGAUGGGAAACAGGUUAAUAUUCCUGUACUUGGUGUUACUGCGAAGGGGGGACGGAGAAGGCUAUGUUGGCCGGGCGACGGUUGUCCCGGUUUAAGCGUGUAGGCUGGUUUUCCAGGCAAAUCCGGAAAACUAAGGCUGAGGCGUGAUGACGAGGCACUACGGUGCUGAAGCAACAAAUGCCCUGCUUCCAGGAAAAGCCUCUAAGCAUCAGGUAACAUCAAAUCGUACCCCAAACCGACACAGGUGGUCAGGUAGAGAAUACCAAGGCGCUUGAGAGAACUCGGGUGAAGGAACUAGGCAAAAUGGUGCCGUAACUUCGGGAGAAGGCACGCUGAUAUGUAGGUGAAGUCCCUCGCGGAUGGAGCUGAAAUCAGUCGAAGAUACCAGCUGGCUGCAACUGUUUAUUAAAAACACAGCACUGUGCAAACACGAAAGUGGACGUAUACGGUGUGACGCCUGCCCGGUGCCGGAAGGUUAAUUGAUGGGGUCAGCGCAAGCGAAGCUCUUGAUCGAAGCCCCGGUAAACGGCGGCCGUAACUAUAACGGUCCUAAGGUAGCGAAAUUCCUUGUCGGGUAAGUUCCGACCUGCACGAAUGGCGUAAUGAUGGCCAGGCUGUCUCCACCCGAGACUCAGUGAAAUUGAACUCGCUGUGAAGAUGCAGUGUACCCGCGGCAAGACGGAAAGACCCCGUGAACCUUUACUAUAGCUUGACACUGAACAUUGAGCCUUGAUGUGUAGGAUAGGUGGGAGGCUUUGAAGUGUGGACGCCAGUCUGCAUGGAGCCGACCUUGAAAUACCACCCUUUAAUGUUUGAUGUUCUAACGUUGACCCGUAAUCCGGGUUGCGGACAGUGUCUGGUGGGUAGUUUGACUGGGGCGGUCUCCUCCUAAAGAGUAACGGAG
rnacentral:rRNA from 1 species